UGGGGAAUCUUGGACAAUGGGCGCAAGCCUGAUCCAGCCAUGCCGCGUGAGUGAUGAAGGCCUUAGGGUUGUAAAGCUCUUUUGCCGGGGACGAUAAUGACGGUACCCGGAGAAUAAGUCCCGGCUAACUUCGUGCCAGCAGCCGCGGUAAUACGAAGGGGACUAGCGUUGUUCGGAAUCACUGGGCGUAAAGCGCACGUAGGCGGAUUUGUAAGUCAGGGGUGAAAUCCCGGGGCUCAACCUCGGAACUGCCUUUGAUACUGCGGAUCUCGAGUCCGAUAGAGGUGAGUGGAAUUCCUAGUGUAGAGGUGAAAUUCGUAGAUAUUAGGAAGAACACCGGUGGCGAAGGCGGCUCACUGGAUCGGUACUGACGCUGAGGUGCGAAAGCGUGGGGAGCAAACAGGAUUAGAUACCCCCGUAGUCCCUGAGCGGGCUGGCAAGGCG
rnacentral:rRNA from 1 species